rnacentral:rRNA from 1 species
AUGGUGAAGGACACCGCGUACUACGAUACCUUGGGGGUCACCACCGACGCCUCCGAUGCCGAGAUGAAGAAGGCGUAUUACCUCAAGGCCAGGCUGGUUCAUCCAGAUAAGAAUCCCGGGGACCCUGAUGCCGCGCGCAAGUUUCAGGUACAUGUAUACAUUUUCCCGCUUCUGUUCUGCCCCCCUACUUUUGCUACCGGAUUCAGAGCAUCUCUAGCAAAUCCCGCAAACAGGGCUGUCCGGGAAAUUUCAGCCCCAACCGCUUUCCUCGCAGCCUAG